rnacentral:sRNA from 1 species
AUUAAAUUAAUUAAAAAACGAAAUACAUUAUUAAUUUCCAAAAAUAAUAGCCAAUCAAAAUCAACAUAUAAGAUGUGAUAUCUAAAUUUUAAUUAAUUUAAUUUAAUUAGAAAAACGAAAUACAUUAUUAAUUUCCAAAAAAGUAACCAAUUAAAAUCAACAAAUUAUAUUUGGUAUCUAAAUUAUCAUAUUAAUUUUUUUAUUAAUUAUUAUAGUUCACUUCUCAUCUUUAUAUGAUUCUAUUUUUGCGGAAAAAUAAUAUCAUCACUAUAAAAAAAUAAUUAGAGUUUUUUCGCAUAUGCCAUAAUUUGAAUUUUUAAAAACGAAUAUAAACUGUUCAAUACAUGAAAUAAUAUUAUAACAGGUGAAAAAUAGAUUUAAGAAAACUUUCUACUGAGUAACGGGACAUAAUUUGAAAUAUUUAUAUUCAAUUUCAUACAUAUUAUAUAGAAAAUUUAUAAUCUUAUAUACUACAAUAAUUAAUAACAUAUUAGAUGUGAUUCAAUUUUUAAUACAAUCUGGAAAAUCUUAGAAUUAACGGGUUUAGAUCGAUAUUAAUACAAGAUAGUAUACUACAGGUAAAACUCUUAAAUUAACAAUCAAACUACAAGUGUAUAAUCUUAAACACUAAACAAUAUAGAUCAUAUCAACAAAACAUAUACAACUCACAGUUUACUAUACAUUUAAAAUCAAAUAAAAUAAUAUCAUAUAUUUUUAAAUCAUCUUUACAAUACAAGUUUUUAGUUUAACUAAAAUAUAAGCCUACCUGCGGUAUACUGCAGGUUAAUCUCUAGAUUAUAGGGCUUAUUGGAAAUACAUUAUUAAUUUCCAAAAAAGUAACCAAUUAAAAUCAACAAAUUAUAUUUGGUAUCUAAAUUAUCAUAUUAAUUUUUUUAUUAAUUAUUAUAGUUCACUUCUCAUCUUUAUAUGAUUCUAUUUUUGCGGAAAAAUAAUAUCAUCAUUAUAAAAAAAUAAUUAGAGUUUUUUCGCAUAUGCCAUCAUUUAAAUUUUUAAAAACGAAUAUAAACUGUUCAAUACAUGAAAUAAUAUUAUAACAGGUGAAAAAUAGAUUUAAGAAAACUUUCUACUGAGUAACGGGACAUAAUUUGAAAUAUUUAUAUUCAAUUUCAUACAUAUUAUAUAGAAAAUUUAUAAUCUUAUAUACUACAAUAAUUAAUAAUAUAUUAGAUGUGAUUCAAUUUUUAAUACAAUCUGGAAAAUCCUAGAAUUAACGGGUUUAGAUCGAUAUUAAUACAAGAUGGUAUACUACAGGUAAAACUCUUAAAUUAACAAUCAAACUACAAGUGUAUAAUCUUAAACACUAAACAACAUAGAUAAUAUCAACAAAACAUAUACAACUCACAGUUUACUAUACAUUUAAAAUCAAAUAAAAUAAUAUCAUAUAUUUUUAAAUCAUCUUUACUAUAAAAGUUUUUAGUUUAACUAAAAUAUAAGCCUACCUGCGGUAUACUGCAGGUUAAUCUCUAGAUUAUAGGGCUUAUUGGAUCUAAAGACGGAUCAUCAAAGAUUUCUUAAACUGAAGCAAAAUAUAUUGAAUAUUCAAAUAUCUAUCUGUUAUCAAAUUAUAAACAAAUAAGUCAAUUUAAUAUUUUAUAUACGAAAUCAAUUAAAUCUUAAUCACAUAAAAAUUAGUUUUUAAUUUUUUAUCGCAAUAUCAAUGUUUUCUUAUCUCUAUAGUAUUUUUGCAAGACUUUUUUGGUGGAUUUGGAUAAAAGUGCAUUCGGGUCAUAUGGUACAUUCUCCUAUCAAAUAAAUAUGGUGCACUCCUAUGUUAUUAGCUAAAAUAUUUAGAUUAUAAUUCAGAGUCAUAUCAUUAAUAAAACUAAUAUUAAUAAAAUAAAUGAUUUUUUAGCAAGACGGAUUUGGAGGGACGGGUUUUUGAAUCAACAUUAAUAAAAAAGUAAAAUAUAAUUAAUCCACCGUUUUAAUAUGGGUUAAAUCUUUAAUUUAUUAUUUUCUAAGACCACUAAUAUUAAACAUAUCAAAUCAUCCUAAUUUAGAAAAAAUUAUAUAAAACCAAAAAUGUUAUGUGGUAUGUAUAAUGUUACUAUAUAUAAAAUUAAACUAUAAAAUAUAAAUGUAUUAGAGAAUGAUACAAUUUGCAAAACUUUUAUAUAAAAAAAAU